CCCGCAACGAGCGCAACCCUUAUCCUUUGUUGCCAGCGGUCCGGCCGGGAACUCAAAGGAGACUGCCAGUGAUAAACUGGAGGAAGGUGGGGAUGACGUCAAGUCAUCAUGGCCCUUACGACCAGGGCUACACACGUGCUACAAUGGCGCAUACAAAGAGAAGCGACCUCGCGAGAGCAAGCGGACCUCAUAAAGUGCGUCGUAGUCCGGAUUGGAGUCUGCAACUCGACUCCAUGAAGUCGGAAUCGCUAGUAAUCGUGGAUCAGAAUGCCACGGUGAAUACGUUCCCGGGCCUUGUACACACCGCCCGUCACACCAUGGGAGUGGGUUGCAAAAGAAGUAGGUAGCUUAACCUUCGGGAGGGCGCUUACCACUUUGUGAUUCAUGACUGGGGUGAAGUCGUAACAAGGUAACCGUAGGGGAACCUGCGGUUGGA
rnacentral:rRNA from 1 species